CCAGACUCCUACGGGAGGCAGCAGUGAGGAAUAUUGGUCAAUGGCCGGGAGGCUGAACCAGCCAAGUCGCGUGAGGGAAGACGGCCCUACGGGUUGUAAACCUCUUUUGUCGGGGAGCAAAGCGAGUCACGUGUGACUCAUUGAGAGUACCCGAAGAAAAAGCAUCGGCUAACUCCGUGCCAGCAGCCGCGGUAAUACGGAGGAUGCGAGCGUUAUCCGGAUUUAUUGGGUUUAAAGGGUGCGUAGGCGGAAUGCCAAGUCAGCGGUAAAAUCGCGGGGCUCACCCCCGCCCCGCCGUUGAAACUGUGUCCCUUGAGUGCGCGAAGGGUAGGCGGAAUGCGUGGUGUAGCGGUGAAAUGCACAGAUAUCACGCAGAACUCCGAUUGCGAAGGCAGCAUACCGGCGCCCAACUGACGCUGAAGCACGAAAGCGUGGGUAUCGAACAGGAUUAGAUACCCCAGUAA
rnacentral:rRNA from 1 species